GACGAACGCUGGCGGCGUGCUUAACACAUGCAAGUCGAACGGUGAAGCGCCUUCCUUUUUGGUGGGUGUGGAUGAGUGGCGAACGGGUGAGUAACACGUGAGUAACCUGCCCCCUUCUUCUGGAUAACCGCAUGAAAGUGUGGCUAAUACGGGAUAUUCUGGGUCUGUCGCAUGAUGGGUCUGGGAAAGAUAUUGUUUCGGUGGGGGAUGGGCUCGCGGCCUAUCAGCUUGUUGGUGGGGUGAUGGCCUACCAAGGCGGUGACGGGUAGCCGGCCUGAGAGGGUGGACGGUCACACUGGGACGGCAACACGGCCCAGACUCCUACGGGAGGCAGCAGUGGGGAAUAUUGCACAAUGGGCGCAAGCCUGAUGCAGCGACGCCGCGGGAGGGAUGGAGGCCUUCGGGUUGUGAACCUCUUUCGCCAGUGAAGCAGGCCUGCCUCGUUUGUGGGUGGGUUGACGGUAGCUGGAUAAGAAGCGCCGGCUAACUACGUG
rnacentral:rRNA from 1 species